UACGUAGGUGGCAAGCGUUGUCCGGAAUUAUUGGGCGUAAAGCGCGCGCAGGCGGUUCUUUUAGUCUGAUGUGAAAGCCCACGGCUCAACCGUGGAGGGUCAUUGGAAACUGGAGAACUUGAGUACAGAAGAGGAAAGCGGAAUUCCACGUGUAGCGGUGAAAUGCGUAGAGAUGUGGAGGAACACCAGUGGCGAAGGCGGCUUUCUGGUCUGUAACUGACGCUGAGGCGCGAAAGCGUGGGGAGCAAACAGG
rnacentral:rRNA from 1 species